rnacentral:rRNA from 1 species
UACGAAGGGGGCUAGCGUUGUUCGGAUUUACUGGGCGUAAAGCGCACGUAGGCGGUUUGUUAAGUCAGGGGUGAAAUCCCACAGCUCAACUGUGGAACUGCCUUUGAUACUGGCAAGCUAGAGUCCGGAAGAGGUAAGUGGAACUCCUAGUGUAGAGGUGGAAUUCGUAGAUAUUAGGAAGAACACCAGCGGCGAAGGCGGCUUACUGGUCCGGAACUGACGCUGAGGUGCGAAAAGCGUGGGGAGCAAACAGG